rnacentral:rRNA from 1 species
ACGCUCGACACCUACGGUAGGCAGCAGUAGGGAAUCUUCCACAAUGGACGCAAGUCUGAUGGAGCAACGCCGCGUGAGUGAAGAAGGUUUUCGGAUCGUAAAGCUCUGUUGUUGGUGAAGAAGGAUAGAGGUAGUAACUGGCCUUUAUUUGACGGUAAUCAACCAGAAAGUCACGGCUAACUACGUGCCAAGCACGCCGUAGGUAAUCUGAGGCCGGGUCGUGGACGAACGGC